GACGAACGCUGGCGGCGUGCUUAACACAUGCAAGUCGAACGGAAAGGCCCUGCUUUUGUGGGGUGCUCGAGUGGCGAACGGGUGAGUAACACGUGAGUAACCUGCCCUUGACUUUGGGAUAACUUCAGGAAACUGGGGCUAAUACCGGAUAGGAGCUCCUGCUGCAUGGUGGGGGUUGGAAAGUUUCGGCGGUUGGGGAUGGACUCGCGGCUUAUCAGCUUGUUGGUGGGGUAGUGGCUUACCAAGGCUUUGACGGGUAGCCGGCCUGGGAGGGUGACCGGCCACAGUGGGACUGAGAUACGGCCCAGACUCCUACGGGAGGCAGCAGUGGGGAAUAUUGCACAAUGGGCGGAAGCCUGAUGCAGCAACGCCGCGUGCGGGAUGACGGCCUUCGGGUUGUAAACCGCUUUCGCCUGUGACGAAGCGUGAGUGACGGUAAUGGGUAAAGAAGCACCGGCUAACUACGUG
rnacentral:rRNA from 1 species